CAUGAACACUCCUCCAAUUGGGCCCGAGGAACUGUCAGAAACAUCAUUAGAAUUAGAAUGAUGAGAAUUCAGCCCAGACGAUGAUGACUCUGAAAAACUUGAAAAGUGCCUCUCAAUUGUAGAACUAACAUUGCCGCAAGUGUACGGCUUUCCGGUGGGCGAAAAAACGACCGCCGCAACACGAGAUCCGGUCAAAUCGAACGGUGCUCGCGUGCUGUGCUGGUAGCUCAGCCCGAAUCCGGAUCUUUUGUGAAGUACGCGAGUGUGGUUGCUUAUAUUCCGACUCAGACAAUGGCUGAUGAUAACGUUGGUAACGCGGAGCAGAAAAUUGAGAAUUUGGGUGGGAGAAGAGUUAAGAAACUAGGGUUUGUGGGAGAAGAGAGUCUGGUUGUAUGCAAACAGAGAGAGAUUGUAUAGGGGUUUGCAAAUACGCGGUGAUUAUGUGAGAGAAAAUACAAAAAAGGAGAGAGAAAUAAUAUUUAGCAUAUAUGGUGCCUUAAUUGUAGGAUGUAACUAUAUUUAGAUUUUUUGCUAUAAAGGAUAAAAUGUAUUUAUAGGAUGUAAUAUUUUAAAAUGAUAUUUAUUUAAAAUAAAUAGGGUACUAAGAUUUUCUAUAGGGUGUAAAAAUUUCAAUUUAAAAUAGGAAGAAGGAUUACAAAAGGGAAUAAAAUAAAGUGGAUAUAUUAUUUUUCUCAUAGAUUUCAAACUAAAAGUCUAUAAUUAUUGUAUACAUCACUCUCCGCCAAAAUUUGACGAGGGGCUAAAUAAUCCAGAAUAAAGGAUCCCCAAGGACUAAAUUUAAAUUUCAAACACAGCUGGUCCAAACAAAAGGGGAAAAAAACAGAUAUAUAUUGAUGUUUUAAUAAUUUCACACGCCAAGAAAAUCAACUGCACACACACACACACACACACACACACACACCUACCAGAAAACCAUCAAUACAAGGAAACCCAAAGCCAAAAACGGAGUCCUUCAUUAAAAAUAGCGUAUUUUCUCAGCUUCAGCAAUGGCUCAGGUCUCAAUCUCGCUGCUCAAUUUCCUCAACGAAGGUGAAGACGACGUUAACGGACAUCCAAACGCCGUUAUUGAAGACCUCGACUCUUCGCCUUACUGGGUUCACGAUUUCGGUGAAAGCUUCGACGUUUUCACUGCUCCAGAUCUCUCCGAUUUCCCUCCCCGCGCUCAAAUCUCUUUGACCCGUCAACGGCGCACGAAUUUUCCAUUAAGCGACGACGUUUCGGAACCCGAUUCGGUUAUCACCACAAUGGAUUUUUUGGACCGGGAGAACCAAGUAAACUUCGUCAUGGACCUGUUCCAGCAACGCGUGGAACAAGCCCAAUCUUCGAACCGAGUGAUUUCGGACCCUGAUUUGCUUCAUAUUUCGGAGCCGGAGUUAGAGGCCAGUUUCGGUGUGAUUGAAGGGAAUGAUGUUAUGGGCUUGAGUAGCUUAGACCUAGAUUUUGGGCUAGGGUUAGGUUUUUGUGGGGACACCGAUAAUUCUGGGUUCCACGUUGAAGACUGUGAUGGCCCAGAGCAGUUCGUUAGUGGGCUGCAGGUUGUGGAUAUUGGAUCGGAUUCGGAUGCUGAUGAGAACUGCGUUAUGGGCAGACUUUUCAAUCUGGAUGAAGGUGAUGGUGAUGACGAUGAGGAGAAUAUUCAUGAUAACGAGAGUGAUGAACCGAGCCUUAGGCUGUGUUGGGACUCAUUCCAAUUGGAGGAUGAUCAUAGGGAUAUGAAUAAUGAGGACUUUGAGUGGGAAGAAAUUGAUGGAAGAGUUGAUGAGAGAGAGAUUCUUAGCAUGUUUUUAGAUGAUGAGGAAAUAUCCGAAUCUGCUCCUGCCCUAGAGGAUAGGGCCAGAGAGUUGGAUAAUUUGGAGUGGGAGUUUCUGUUGAAUGUUCACAAUUUGGAGCCUGACCCUGAAAUUGGAAAUGUGGAAUUCGAUUUAGCUCAUCAAAUUGAUCA
rnacentral:lncRNA from 1 species